rnacentral:rRNA from 1 species
GCGCCCUACGGGACGCAGCAGUGAGGAAUAUUGGCCAAUGGGCGGGAGCCUGAACCAGCCAAGUCGCGUGAGGGACGACGGUCCUAUGGAUUGUAAACCUCUUUUGUCGGGGAACAAAGGCGCCCACGGGUGGGCGGAUGAGUGUACCCGAAGAAAAAGUAUCGGCUAACUCCGUGCCAGCAGCCGCGGUAAUACGGAGGAUGCGAGCGUUAUCCGGAUUUAUUGGGUUUAAAGGGUGCGUAGGCGGACAGUCAAGUCAGCGGUAACAAUUCGGUGCUCAACGCCGUACAGCCGUUUAAACUGGC